GGGUGUGGUUUGCUUUCUAUAGAGUUCUGUAAUCGUGACUCCGCAUUUCAUUCCUCUUUGCUGCGCUGAGUUUACAGAACUCUACUACAGGCUCAUAAAUGAGCUCUGAAACCAUGGCUACAGUCACCGUAGAAUAUUGUAAAGGAUGAGGUUACGCAUACCGCUACCAGGAACUAGCCAGUACCAUCAGGCAGGUUCCUGGUGUGAAGGUGAACGGAGUCGUGGGGAGAAAGAUUUUGAGGUGACACUGAAUGGGCAGCUGAUCUACUCCAAGCUCAGUACAGGACAGUUUCCUGAUAAUGAGCAGGUGGCAGCGAUGGUGAGGAAGAUGGUUGGUGGAGGACAAGUGCAGAAAAAAUCGAAGUCUCACAAAACUAAAUGCGCUCAACAUUAGGAGGCGGAGGAUGAAACGAGCUGUAUUCACACUGACAGAACGAUGGUUUGGUUUGUUUGUUGUUUUUUUUCUGUCUCACACGCACUUUUUUGAAUGCAAAACUCAAUUUACCCAUUGAAAUAUGACAUGAAAACAGUCUAAACAUUUUAAUCGUUGGUCAUUAAAGCCUCUCUCUGUGUGACAAGGGAAAAGAUCAGACCACACAGUGUCUUCACUGUGAAUACAGACACAGACGACAGGUUGACGAAAGCAACUCAGAGGGUUCUGGCACUGAUCUGCACUUCUGUUUAUGAAUGUACACGCUUAAAAAAACGGGGGUGUGUACACGAUGCAAGUCUAGAAGCCUUUCAUCUGACCAGAGUCUGAAGAUGUGCUCGCAUCACGUCUGUCUGGCAUUGAUACGUAAACCUCUCAUGCAUUUACUUGGAAUGGAAAAAAAAACAGCUCUUUAUCAAGCCUCAGAUAUUUUCUAAUAUGAUUCUCUGUUUAAAUAACUCUGUGAUAUGAUUGACUACAUAUUUAAAAGGCAUUUUUGGAAAUAAAUUUAUUUGCUUUUUUGCCAAAAGUAGGCAGGAUGAGAAGAUUUAUACACACUAUAGUGAUGUGUAUACCAUAAAUAAAUAAAACACUACUACUAGCAGCUGUUUGCUUAGCUUAGCACAGUCACUGGAUACAGGGAGAAACGGCUAGCUCGACUAGCUCCCUAAUUAACAUGUUAUAUCUUUUUUGUUUGAUGCAUUUAAAACCUUUGUAAAGUAUAAAAAAUGACAAAUUGCAAAUAGACAUUAUUUUAUUAUAAUAUGGUGGUGCUGUUAGUUACAUUUUCGUGACUUUGGACAGAGCCAAGCUAACUGCUAGCUGUUUCCGGUCUUUAUGCUAACAUAUGCUAACAGGCUGCUAGCUGUAGCCUCAUACAUAUGGUACAGGCAUGAAAGGCAAGGCAAGUUUAUUUGUAUAACACCAUUCAUACGCAACUCAAGGUGCUUUACAGGGGCAUAGAAAUACAUUUAGAAAGGAACACUGAAGUUAAAAUUACAGUAUAAUUUCAAGAUAUGAAGACAUUAAAAUAGACAUUAAAAUCAGAGAUAUGGUUUAAAGCCAAUAAAGGUGCAUUUUAACGUACAAGAAUGAAAAAUUUAAGAACUAAGAUGAUUUGUCUGAGAAAGCUGUCGUAAACAACACUGUUUUCAGACCUGAUUUAAAUGAGAUGACAGUUUUAACAGUUUGUCCUAUAGCCGAGGUGCAUAAUAACUGAAUGCUGCUUCACUUUGUUUGGCUUUGGUUCUGGGGACACACAAUGAGCCUGUUCCUGAUGACCUGAGAGGUCCAAGACCAAAAUACAUGAAAGUAGUAUAGAUCUUCUCAUCAAACUCAACAAGAAAGUGGAUAAGGGUAUUUCCAAAAUUUCAAACUACUUUUGGUGUGGGUGUUGUAAAACAGAAUAUACAUUGCAAAAUUUUAUUUCACAUUUAAAUUAUGCCUAUCUAGAUUGUCAGUCAUCCAUGGUCUGGUAAAUGGUGUCCAUCUUAUCGCAUCCCUCCUUCAUGGUAGUCCUAAGUGCUUAAGUACAAGUGGUGAUAACUACCUGAUAAAUCAACACCACUAAUCAGUUACUUAUAAUGCAGUCUUGAAAUCCCUCCCUGGACAGUUUCACCACCAUUAAUACCUUCAGUCAUCCCAACCAGCCACACCUGGUGUGAGUGUUUGGUUGCUAACCGGUCGUUAGCCAUUAGCCAUUUGGGUGCGACUAUCUGACCCAAUCAGUCAGCUGGAACUGAAGAAGCUUCUUGGAUGAAAGACGAAACAAUUUUAAGAACCAAAAACAGUCCAGUUGCUGUCUACUAAAGCACGUAGGACUCCUAUUUGGAAAAAAUAUUGAGCGUCUCAGUGCUCUCGAAGAGCCUUAACACAACCUGAAAGUGAACCCUUUCUUUGACAUAUUGUAUCAAGUACAUAUCAUAUUGAGUAUUUAAAAUGCAUAGCUGUCAUAUAUGACCUACUAUUUGAAAAACAAUACAUGGAAGUAUUAUUACCAGGAUGAUGCUGUGAGCUAAGUACUGUGUAUGUGCUGCCAUUUGUUACCAUUCUGGCAUUUUAGAAUUUGAAAAUCAGACUAAAAUCUUAAUUUGAAUCAUGUUACUGUAUUGUAUUGUUAUACUGUUACCCAUUUUGUAACCACUUUUUUUCCCAGAAUUGCAAUAAAACAUCACUGACUAAUUG
ensembl:lncRNA